UUUCUUAAGAUUAUAUUUAAGGUACUUUCUGCCCCAUGAAUAUAAUUUUAAAUGGCUGCAGUAUAUUGACUGUACAAAGGUAGCAUAAUAAUUAGUUUUUUAAUUAAGGACUUGAAUGAAUGGAUAAAUGAGGAAUUUACUUUAUUAGUUAUAUUUAUAUAAAUUUGUUUCUUGGUAAAAAAUCUAAGGUUUGUUUUAGGGACGAGAAGACCCUAUAGAACUUUAAAGUUUUAAUUUAAUUCUUUAUUUAGUAUUUACUUUAGGUUAUUUUAUGAAUUUUUUGGUUGGGGUGAUUAAUAAAUUUUAAACUCUUUAUUUAUCUCUUUCAUUUAUUUAUGUAUAGUUGAUCCUUAAUAAAGAUUAUAAGAUAAGUUACCUUAGGGAUAACAGCGUUAUUUCAAUUUAAAGUUCAAAUUUAAAUUGUAGUUUGCGACCUCGAUGUUGAAUUAAGAUAUUUCUAGGGUGAAGAAGCUUUAGGUAUAAGUCUGUUCGACUUUUUUAAUCUUACA
rnacentral:rRNA from 1 species